rnacentral:misc_RNA from 1 species
GAUGAAGAACGCAGCGAAAUGCGAUAAGUAAUGUGAAUUGCAGAACUCAGUGAAUCAUCGAAUCUUUGAACGCACAUUGCGCCCCCUGGUAUUCCGGGGGGCAUGCCUGUCCGAGCGUCAUUGCUGCCCUCAAGCACGGCUUGUGUGUUGGGCCCCGUCCUCCGAUCCCGGGGGACGGGCCCGAAAGGCAGCGGCGGCACCGCGUCCGGUCCUCGAGCGUAUGGGGCUUUGUCACCCGCUCUGUAGGCCCGGCCGGCGCUUGCCGAUCAACCCAAAUUUUUAUCCAGGUUGACCUCGGAUCAGGUAGGGAUACCCGCUGAACUUAAGCAUAUCAAUAAGCGGAGGA